CCUAGUGAGCAGUUUAGAAGACGCCAUUUUGUGGUUGUAUAUGCAUUUGAUUUGUCUGGCUUGAACACCUGGAAGGAGAAUUUGGCGGGCAUAGUCGUGGCAUCGGCUGUUCAUUUUUUUUUUCUUCCCAUCAAAGGGGUGUUUGGAAGACCACCCCGCGACCCAGUGCUCUCUCUCUCCACAAGACGACGCUGGCAGCACCGCUUGGACGCAUUCCAUGCAUCAUAGCUGUUUACUAAUUUGGUAUGCUAAUUGACUAAUUAAUUUGGUAGCAGGAGAUUAGAUCGCACUUGAAAAUAAACUGCUCGAUGAAGCAGGGGCCGCUCUCUGCUUCCAAAAUGUUUGUAAUAUUUCUUUCACGUGCGCUCCCACCCCCCACCCUUUGCCCCAUGUGCCGCGCACCAGCAUCCCACCCAAGUAAGAGAAAUGACGCGCUUUUAGGGAAGCGAAAGCGGGCGCCGCGGAGCCUCUCCGGCUGCCAGCCGCGUCGGCGGUAUCGCGCAGAUCUCACCGCGGAGACGCGGAGCGGAGGUCCGCAGGACUUAACGACUCCCGGUUUGCAGGUGGCGAGCGACAGAGUCCCCUCUGAUGGUGAUAAUUCUGCUCUCUGUUGGUUCACAGAAUCAUUUAAAAACAAGGCAACUAGCACACCACUUUUUAAAGGCUAUCAAGGAAAAUGUUUCUGACACAAGCAGAUGGGCUGAACAUAUUUCCACUUUCAUCUGGACCAUUUACAGAGAUGAACCCCUACCUUCCUUAGAGCCUGGAUGUGGUAGUUUCCAUGGUGAUGGGUGGGGGGGAGAUCAGCUGGACUGCUCUUCUAAGUCCUGGAAGACUGGGCAUUCUCCAGUGUGGAGAUUAAGGGUUUGUCCACAAGGUGGCAGAACUGAGACACAAAACCGAUCUAGCUGAAAUUUAAUUGCCCCCUACUUAUUUAAUUAAGGCCACUAGCUUACUGUUCUUAGGGCCAUUGCAAUUCUUUCUUCACCUCUCCUGAUUAUAACAAUUAAACUCUGUGCAUCUCGCUCCCCUAAUGGCCGGUGGUGUGAGCCCUUUAAUCAGGCUAAUUUUUACUCUCUGCUAGCCUCAAGGUCCAGCCCAACAUCACACUGCUAAUGCUAUGUUGACCUUUGCCCCAUAGGUAUAUCUGGAAAGUUCUGUGUGAAGAUCUCUCCAAUAUGGCAAAUGGCAAUGAUUUUCACCCUCCUUGUUGAUUAUGCUGUCCUCUGUCACUUAUCUUGUAUAGUGGCCUCAUUUCAAAAUCGCUUCACUAAAACAUGCCUGAAGGAGUCCAUCCGUCCAUCUUCUCAGGAAGGACAGGAGCCCCUCGUUGGUAGGCCGGUCCAUCAGGGCACGCUCACACGUACAGCAUGCAGUCACACACACUGGAUGUUUUAGAGAUGCCGUUUCACCUCGCUGCAUGUUUUUGAACUUCAAUAUCUUUAGGAAGCCCACACAACAUGUGGAAAACAUGCAAACACCACUUGUGUAGGUAUCUGAAAUUUUCUCUUAUAAACUCAUUUCUGGUUUGAAAGCACCGUAGAUAAUCAAAUUUGUUAUCUGAGCGAAGCAGUGACGCACGGAACUAGCUCGCUAUUUUAAAACGCUGUGUAAUUCAUAAACAAAUCAGAAAGCUUUCAGUGACACAGAUUGGUGAUGAGAGCACAUUUUUGACCCCAUCCCCAAACACAUCAGUGUUCAAUUUUUUUUUUGGCUAUUAUGUUCAGAACACGUUGUCUCUCUCCCAAUAUUAUUUUUGUUUUCCCAGUGGGAGAUGCUGUUAAGGAUUACUCCUAUGAUGUGACACAUUCUGCGCUGUGUGACGGGAACUUAUUCCUCCUAAUAUGUGAGCAUGUCCAAAUAUACACACACACUCCCAAAGGCAUGUUGUCUUUUCUCGUUCUCUGUUACCUUGCUGUGCAAAACCAUAGCAACCAAUGACAGGAAUGAGUUCGGCAAGUGUUUUAUGGACUGGGGCAGGGCUGGACCUGCAUCCACUAGGGUUGU